rnacentral:rRNA from 1 species
GACAGAGGGUGCAAACGUUGUUCGGAAUUACUGGGCGUAAAGCGCGUGUAGGCGGCAACGCAAGUCGGAUGUGAAAGCCCAUGGCUCAACCAUGGAAGUGCACCCGAAACUGCGUUGCUAGAGUCUCGGAGAGGAAGGUGGAAUGCUUGGUGUAGAGGUGAAAUUCGUAGAUAUCAAGCGGAACACCGGUGGCGAAGGCGGCAUCCUGGACCGGCAUUGACGCUGAGGCGCGAAAGCCAGGGGAGCAAACGGG